AUUUUUUCCGCAUCCAAGCUCGGAAUUCCAAAGGUUCCGGUCCAAUCUCGGAUCCCAUUUUCUUCAGGACUGCCAAAGAAAUUCCAGAUAAAAUGCCCAACGACCAAGGUCGCCAUGGAGACGGAUCCUAUUGGCCCCUGGACAUCGAUCGCAGCAGCCUCAAUG